rnacentral:rRNA from 1 species
CACGUAGGGCGCAAGCGUUGUCCGGAAUUAUUGGGCGUAAAGAGCUCGUAGGCGGUCUGUUGCGUCCGCUGUGAAAACUCGGGGCUUAACCCCGAGCCUGCAGUGGAUACGGGCAGACUAGAGGUAGGUAGGGGAGAAUGGAAUUCCCGGUGUAGCGGUGAAAUGCGCAGAUAUCGGGAGGAACACCAGUGGCGAAGGCGACUAUCUGGGCUGCAACUGACGCUGAGGCGCGAAGGCUAGGGUAGCAAACAGG